UGGUGGGGUGGAGUGGGAGGAACACUGGGCUGCGGCCCAGUUCAACUCCCUCACUUGCUUGAGGCCAAAACUCUCUCUCUCUCUGGGUCCUGGUACCUUCAUUACCAAGUGGAGCUGAGAACUCCCCUUCCUUGCCCCACGUCUACUGUGAAGCUGAAAUACAAUUCAGACAUGACCAAGGCUUGGGUCUGAUAUGCCAUCCUCUCAAGGGAAGGGCUAAGUGGCACCAGAGCGGAGAGCAGAACAAAGACCUGCUGCUCUCAGACUGCACUUAAGGUGCAGUGCGAGUGGGUGCGGCACCCCCCAAGGCAAGCCCAGCACUGGCCACGCUCCCCUCCUACUGCCCCCCACCAGCGAGCUCCUGGGCCUGGCAACAGGGCUGAAGUUGCUUUUUAUUCCAGAACAGAUCCCUUAUAUGACAUAAACAAUGACUCAGGAGUCGGAAGUAAAACUUUCUAGAGCUGAAAACUGAAAGUAAACAGCGCCUGGUUCUGGCUUGGACAGCACUGCUGACAGAGCUGAGUGAGGCUCAGCACCGCCGCCUGUUCACCUUUCACCCCCUUGGCUGGCUGCCUCCCCUGGGGCGGCGCCCAGAGUCCCGUCUGAAGCCUGAGACUAGGACUUCCUUGUGCUGCAGGAAGUAGCAGACUCAGCAGCUGCAACUCAGAGCAGGGGGUAAGUGAGGACAAGAUGCGCAGGCCGGGGGCCCAGCCCUGACAGGCAAGUCCUAAAUCUGACCACGGAGCCUGGCUGCGGCAUGGCGGGGCUCCAUACUCCAAGGGCCCCUGUAACCCUGCCGUAGAGCUCUGGUCAUGUGGCUCUCACUACCUACACGCUCCCACCUUUCCUCACGCCCUGAUGCCUCCUUCCCCUCCUCCGAGAAGGCUUCCCUGAAAACAGACCUAUUCCACAGGCCCUGGGUUACCCCUCAGCCCAGGCCUCAGUCUCCUAAUCUGCACAAUGAGGAAGCUGGACUAGAUCAAGACGCCUCAGCCUUCUGAACCCAUGCACUGCCAGGGAGAGGGCUCAAAAGUCCUGGUUCCUGGGCAGGAAAGAGUAAAGCGACACUCCCGGAAGACUCUGGCCUCAGAGCUGCUCAGGCAACUUGAGCCGAGCACCUGUUUGUGGCCCUGCAGGCCCUCUCCCUCUAGGUACCUGCUGACUGCAUGUGGGCCAGGUGAGCCACCAGCCAAUUGUGGCUGUGUCCCCUGACUUCUGUACACCCUCGGCCAGAGAGCUCUUCUCCUCCCUAAAGCUUUGUGUGGCCUUAAUCAGAAACGCUUUGACCUUUGGGUCUCCUCCAAGGACUCUGCAGAGGGCUAGGGACUAGGUAGCUGAAAUAGGGAGGCAACAGGUCAGGCUUCUUGCCCCAAGAGGGGCAGGUCAGCCAGGAAGUUCCCCUGGACUCCAACCAUCCAGUCUGGUGAUCUUGUGGUAGGCUGGGUUCCUCCACCAAGACUGUGUUUCUCUUAAAUGGCUCUGGGCUGCGGAAGGGAAACCAAAGGACAGAAAACUUAUUUGAGCUCCUGGGAGAAAAGAAGCUGCCUCAGGACUCAGAGUUUUCUCAUCUUAAAACAGAGAUACAAGGAUGUACUUCAUAAGGCUGCUGAAGUAAAAGCGCUAACAGAGCGCUUCAAACAGUGUGGGGAACCUGGCCAGCACCGCCAUGAUCAUCAUUUUCAGCUUAAACACUGCCUCUUCAGACAGCCUGUUCCUUCUCAGAGCAUCCAGUACUCAUCACAGUUGGUAAAUAUUUUUUGUUUACGAUUUGUACUCCAUUAAGACUGGGAAUUUGCCUUAUUUACUACUGUACACUCAGCACCUAGCACAAUGCCUGAUACAGCACAGGUACUCAGUAAAUAUAUGCUGAAUGAUUUUGAGAAAUAGAUAGUAGAAAAGUUAGGUGCUGUGCCAAGGAAGAAUAGACGACAGCUAGGAUUUGUACCAAGGUUCUAAGCACCUCAUUUGGCUGCAUGAUGAAUAAUCUGGUCUCUGCAUCUCCUGCUUGAAGCUUCCGCAGCACUCAGUAUGCGUAUCUUAGCUGAGUUCUGUUUUUACGCUUCCGUGCUAAUUCUCCUACCUGUCAUCUUAGCUAACAAUGCCUUGCUCUUUACACAUGUGCACUUCCUCACUUUUCUUGAGCUCCUUCACUGUUGUGCCCACAGGAUAAGCUCAGCGCAAGAGAGUGACCCCUGUGACCACCUUUCCAGGAGUGUGGCCGGGGCCACUCUGCAUUCUGUACGCUUUCACUGAAGAGAUAAUGACUCUACAGGAAACAGGCGGAUUCUUUACCGACUGAGCCACAAGGGAAGAACAGUGAAUGUGCUACCAACAUCUAAAGCCAGUGCAAAGCAUUAUGCUUCAGAGGCCUGAUGAUAAUGGUAGAAUCAUAGCACCUGGUCAGUGCAGAUGCUGGCUGCAGAGGGAAUUUCUCGGAGCUAUCAGCAGAAUCACUUAGCUCAUCAUAGGCCACUUCCUUCUUAGCCUGGGACUGUGGCUUGGGGCCCUGGUCCUGGUCUGCCUUUGGUGAGCGCCAUCCAACA